GCCAAGAAACAAGUCUGGAGACGUCUUGGGUGCCAAAAGGUGAUUGUAUAUAACCGCCCGGGGACAGGACCCGCGGGCAGAGAGAGAUGCCCUGGGGUUGCUAGGAGUGACGGGUUCUCUGUUUUUGGGUUUGCAGAGGGCAGGAAGGUAGAGAAAACCUGAUUCUCUAAGGAAAUUUCUGUCCGCUGAAUGCAGCGCCUACAGGGCCUUGGGGGCCUGGCUGUGGUUAAGGCUGCUUUUUGUUUUUAAUACAACAGCGACAGCAAGGCAGCAGUGAGUUCCUUUCUGAGCUCCGUUCUGGGGGCCUCAGGCGUCUAGCAGUGGAUGCAGGUCAUGAGAAGGUGUAAUUGAAGCCACAUUUCUCCCGCCUUUGUUCUCCUCAGUGGGAAAAUGUCUGUGACUUCUGCUGGUGACGGAACCACAGACGCUCCUGACGGUGGUUGGCUCCCUACGUUCCUAGGUUAAGGGUACAGCCAGAUUUCAGCUCCAGCUCGGAGAUCUGAAAGGUGCAAAUGUUCACCAGUCCCCAAGGUUUCUUUCGGGGAACCGGGGUAAAGCCGAUCACAUGCAGUGUUGGAGGGACCCCAAAAUGAAUCAGCGUGGAGCCCAUGGCUUCAGGCUUUUUUUAAUUCACUUUUUGACCGAGGUACAGUUGAAUACUGUGUUAGUUUCAACCGCCCCACGUAGGGACUCGGUGGUUGUGCACCUUGUGAAAUGAUCGCUGCCAUUGUGUGGCCAACGUGUGUCAUUUUACACAGGGACAAAAAACCUUCUGGGUGAUGAGCAUGUUCAAGAUUUACUCUCUAGCAAAACUUGCAGCUGUGUAAUAGAGUAUUAUUGACUGUGUGAACUUCGGUUACUUAUGCAUCGAACUAAAUGUGUAAUCCACUAUGUACUAAAUAAAUAACAUAUCUGCA